ensembl:lncRNA
GUCUAUGGAAUGGUAGGAGAACCAGGUAUAUGGAGUGGUAGGUGAUCCAGGUCUAUGGGAUGGUAGGUGAUCCAGGUCUAUGGGAUGGUAGGGGGUCCAGGUCUAUGGAGUGGUAGAGAAUUAAUAUAGAACAUUAUCACAGUUGAAAAUGUUCCAAAAUCCUGAUUUUGGAAGACAUCCCAUAAUUCCAUGGCAGCUCUCUGGACAUAUCAUUUAGUUACAGAGCAGUAGAGUAUCACACCAAGGUCCUGGACUUAUCAUUUAGUUACAGAGCAGUAGAGUAUCACACCAAGAUCCCUGGACAUAUCAUUUAGUUACAGAGCAGUAGAGUAUCACACCAAGGUCCCUGGACAUAUCAUUUAGUUACAGAGCAGUAGAGUUUC